UGGGGAAUAUUGCACAAUGGAGGGAACUCUGAUGCAGCGACGCCGCGUGAACGAAGAAGGCUUUCGAGUCGUAAAGUUCUUUUAUAUGGGAAGAUAAUGACGGUACCAUAAGAAGAAGCCCCGGCUAACUACGUGCCAGCAGCCGCGGUAAUACGUAGGGGGCUAGCGUUGUCCGGAAUCACUGGGCGUAAAGGGUUCGCAGGCGGAAAUGCAAGUCAGGUGUAAAAGGCAGUAGCUUAACUACUGUAAGCAUUUGAAACUGCAUAUCUUGAGAAGAGUAGAGGUAAGUGGAAUUUUUAGUGUAGCGGUGAAAUGCGUAGAUAUUAAAAAGAAUACCGGUGGCGAAGGCGACUUACUGGGCUCAUUCUGACGCUGAGGAACGAAAGCGUGGGUAGCAACCAGG
rnacentral:rRNA from 1 species